GACGAACGCUGGCGGCGUGCCUAAUACAUGCAAGUAGAACGCUGACGGAGGAGCUUGCUUCUCUGGAUGAGUUGCGAACGGGUGAGUAACGCGUAGGUAACCUGCCUGGUAGCGGGGGAUAACUAUUGGAAACGAUAGCUAAUACCGCAUAAGAGUAGAUGUUGCAUGACAUUUGCUUAAAAGUUGCAAUUUCCUCACUACCAGAUGGACCUGCGUUGUAUUAGCUAGUUGGGGGGGUAACGGCUCACCAAGGCGGCGAUACAUAGCCGACCUGAGGAGGAUAACCGGCACACUGGGAAUGGGAACAGGCCCAGGCUCCUAAGGGGAGGAGCAGGAGGGGAAUAUCGGCAAUGGACGGAAGGCUUGCUGAGCAACGCCGGGUGAGUGAAGGAGGGUUUCGGGUCGUAAAGCUCUGUUGUAAGAGAAGAAAGAGUGGGAGAGUGAAAAGUUCACACUGUGACGGUAUCUUACCAGAAAGCGACGGCUAACUACGUG
rnacentral:rRNA from 1 species